GUGCUCACUUUGGCAGCACAUAUGCUAAAAUUGGAACGAUACAGAGAAGAUUAGCAUGACCCCUGCGCAAUAAAUUCAUGAAGCAUUCCAUAUUUAA
rnacentral:snRNA from 1 species